GGCGCGGCGCACGCGCGGUCCGCUCUUCCUGAGGCCCGGCGGCGGCAAGCGCGCGGCGGCCUGGCGGUUACUGCUGCUGCGGCAGGAUCUAGUACUACAAAACAGCAGUAAUGUCAGCUAUGGAGAACAACACAGAAAAUAUAGAGGAAGAGAAACCGACUGUAAGCAAUGAGAGCACAGACAAUGGCCCUGAAACAGCAACAGAAGAACAGCAGAUGGACUUCAGUACAGAAAUUAUGAGUGUCACUGAGAUGGAACAAUCACCUGAUAGUUCCCCUGACCUGAAUGAAGAGAACAUGCAGGAGAGUGAAAUUCCCAAUAUUGAAAGUUUACAGACAACAGAUAUUGAGGCUGGCUUCCCUCCAGAUUUUGACAAGUUCUGGAAAGUAGUAGAGGACAAUCCCCAGGAUUUCACGGGAUGGGUAUAUCUACUACAGUACGUAGAGCAGGAGAACCACUUACCAGCUGCCAGGAAAGCAUUUGACAGGUUUUUCACACAUUAUCCAUAUUGCUAUGGAUAUUGGAAAAAGUAUGCAGACCUUGAGAAGCGACACGACAACGUUAAGCAGUCUGAUGAGGUAUGUAGGUAGCUGGGUGCAGCUAUUGCCGUUGGUCCUGUUAGCCAAACAAUGACUAACCUACCGCAAGUCAUUUGGCUGCCAGUACCUGCCAUCUGUGGCCAGGUUUGUAGGGAUUUUGUUUGCACUUGUCACAUCUGUGGCAUUUGUAGCUAAUGUUUUCUCUCUUUGUUGGCAGGUGCGUUAAACCUCUACAGUUUGUCAAGCUUUGCAGUGCAAGCCUCUGUAUUACACUGCAGCUUAACAAGUAGGGCAGGGCUUUUCUGUCGCUUACAUUUAUUAUUCAUUUUCAAAACAAUAUAGUUGGUUUGCUGGUCACAAUUGCUGCAUCUUAUUGCAUUUUUGGUCAGACGCUGUCAAUGAUGCUCUAAUGGGUCUGUGCCCUAUGGUCUGUACCCCAAAGCCUGCCCACACAACCUGGUCAGAAUGCAGGGACCGCUGCGCUUUGAAGAUCAAGACUCUGCACGUGGAGAUCAGAACAUUGCCAUGUUCUAUCCAACCUCCACCCAAAUGGUUUAUCGCAGAGGGCUUCAGGCAAUUCCUCUUAGUGUUGAUCUUUGGAUACAUUAUAUAAACUUCUUAAAGGAGACCUUGGACCCUGCUGAUCCUGAAACGAACAGUACGAUUCGAGGCGCCUAUGAACAUGCAGUCUUAGCUGCUGGGACAGAUUUCCGUUCCGACAGACUGUGGGAAAUGUAUAUAAACUGGGAAAAUGAACAGGGAAACCUAAGGGAAGUUACAUCCAUCUAUGACCGCAUCCUUGGAAUUCCAACGCAGCUCUACAGUCAUCACUUCCAGAGGUUUAAAGAACACAUACAGAACAACCUGCCUCGAGACUUUCUGACUACUGAGCAGUUUGUUCAGCUGCGCAGAGAAUUAGCGUCUGUGAACGGCCAUAGCGGGGAGGACACGCAGCCUGACGAUGACCUGCCCUCUGGUGCUGAAGAUAUAACUGACCCUGCCAAGCUGAUCACUGAGAUAGAAAACAUGAGGCACAGGAUCAUUGAGAUUCAUCAAGAAAUGUUUAACCACAAUGAACAUGAAGUCAGUAAGAGGUGGACGUUUGAAGAAGCGAUAAAGAGGCCUUACUUUCACGUAAAACCUCUGGAGAAAAUUCAGCUGAAAAACUGGAAAGAGUACUUAGAAUUUGAGAUAGAAAAUGGCACUCAUGAGAGAGUUGUGGUCCUCUUUGAAAGAUGUGUUAUUUCAUGUGCCCUCUAUGAGGACUUCUGGAUUAAGGAGAUGGUCUGCUUGCAACCAGAUUUGACUGCUGCAUAUGCCAACCUCGUUGCCUCUCUACGUCCUUCCUUACAGAAACUAGUCUAGUGGUUCCAUAAAGUAUGCCAAAUACAUGGAGAAUCAUAGUAUUGAAGGCGUGAGGCAUGUCUACAGCAGGGCUUGUACAAUACAUCUUCCUAAGAAACCAAUGGUUCACAUGCUGUGGGCUGCCUUUGAGGAACAGCAGGGCAACAUCGAUGAAGCAAGAAGAAUCUUGAAAACCUUUGAAGAGUGUAUCCUAGGGCUCGCAAUGAUUCGCUUGCGAAGAGUGAGCUUAGAACGCAGACACGGAAACAUGGAAGAUGCUGAACACCUGCUUGAAGAAGCUGUUAGAAAUGCCAAAUCAGUUAGUGAAUCGUCAUUUUAUGCCAUCAAAUUAGCUCGACACCUCUUCAAAGUACAGAAAAAUCUUCCAAAGGCAAGAAAAGUGCUGUCAGAAGCCAUAGAAAUUGACAAAGAAAAUACAAAGCUGUACCUCAACUUGCUUGAAAUGGAGUACAGUGGCGAUCUCAAGCAGAAUGAAGAAAACAUCCUGAGCUGCUUUGAUAAAGCUGUCAAUGGCGCCUUGUCCAUAAAAAUGAGGAUUACGUUUUCUCAGCGAAAAGUGGAAUUCCUCGAAGAUUUUGGUUCUGAUGUAACCAAGCUUCUGGAUGCCUAUGAUGAACAUCAGGCCCUUCUCAAGGAGCAGGAUUCUUUGAAGAGGAGAGCGGAGAACGGGUCAGAGGAGCCAGAUGAAAAGAAAAUGCUCACAGAUGACCCAACACUGGCAUCAGCACAGAUGAUGGAUGGAGACAUGCAAGUCAAUCAGGCAGCGUAUAACUACAAUGCCUGGUACCAGUACAAUUACCAGAACGCGUGGAAUUAUGGACAGUAUUAUCAUGCGACUUGAUCCGAAGAGUGAGUGAAGGUCACUGUGCUGCAGUUUUGACGAAGACAGGAUACAAAGAAAUUCUAUUUUUCUAAAUUAGGGAUGUGAAAGAACUGUUGUAAUACCUGCUUUUUGGUCUUCUGCAUGUGAAGUGAGCUGGUGUUCCCAGGGUACGUGUGAAGCAAGAUCUGUGUGCUGGUAACGGAUAAAUGGUAUCUCUGUACAACUCUAGUUUACCAUAAAUGCGUCUGUUUUGGUUUUUUAAUUCCCUGCACUAAUUUAUGGAGGUAUCUGAAGAAUUUUUCCGGUCUCAGGACGAUGCUGUGGAUUUAACCAGUAAAGCUGUAGGGGUUUUGCUUUGGUUGGGUUUCCCCCAAAGCCGCUGUGCCACCCCAGCUGCCGCAGGAUGCAGCAGCUCAGGCACACAGCGCUCCUCUCCUGCUCUGCUCUCCAGCCACAUGUCACGACCUGCUUCUAUCACGACAUCUUCCCUGUGCCCAUGAGCCAACCCAGACUGCUUUCUUUGUGGUGUUAAGAUUGAAACUCCGAUGACACUGGCAGCCUUUGCAAGCUGCGGUACGUAUUUUCUAUUCCAUGUGGGGGUCGACAAUUAAAAUGCAGUGCAAAAUGAUGUUGCAUUCUUUUUUAAAAAGCACAAACUGUGUUUGGGAUGAUUUUUGUAUUUAGAGUUUUUCAUGUACACAGUGUGAGCAAACUUUUUUUCAUUUUGAUCAAAGUGAUCAUUCCCAUUUUUGUAAUAAAAGCAAGGAAUUCAGUAA